rnacentral:rRNA from 1 species
UACGGAGGGUGCGAGCGUUGUUCGGAUUUACUGGGCGUAAAGGGCGCGUAGGCGGCAUGGCAAGUCACUUGUGAAAUCUCCGGGCUUAACUCGGAACGGCCAAGUGAAACUGCCACGCUAGAGUGCAGAAGGGGCAAUCGGAAUUCUUGGUGUAGCGGUGAAAUGCGUAGAUAUCAAGAGGAACACCUGAGGUGAAGACGGGUUGCUGGGCUGACACUGACGCUGAGGCGCGAAAGCCAGGGGAGCAAACGGG